UCGUGAAGGAAGAAUGUGCAAU
rnacentral:miRNA from 1 species